rnacentral:misc_RNA from 1 species
UCAAACUUGGUCAUUUAGAGGAAGUAAAAGUCGUAACAAGGUCUCCGUAGGUGAACCUGCGGAGGGAUCAUUAGAGAGAUAUCGAGUCGACAUGAGCCUUUGCUUGCGACCGACUCACACACACCCACAAACACUUACACAGAAAUGUUGAACUGCCAAAAGGGGAAGGGACAGACUGGCCCUUAGUUGGCUGGGCCGCCUGCCAUCAUAGGAGCUCUGGUUUGCUUCCUGGUGUAGUCACCGACCCCCCUGGCACCCUCAUCUCAUCGUUUUUAACCCGGUCAUUUGCAUGUGUUUGGUGAGCCGGAAGGCAAACCCAGUACAACUUUCAACAAUGGAUCUCUUGGCUCCCCCAUCGAUGAAGAACGCAGC